rnacentral:rRNA from 1 species
UUGGAGGGCAAGUCUGGUGCCAGCAGCCGCGGUAAUUCCAGCUCCAAUAGCGUAUAUUAAAGUUGUUGCAGUUAAAAAGCUCGUAGUUGAAUUUCGGGAUCAAUCUGUUGGUCGUGCCUUUGGUACGUACUAGCUUAUUGAUUUCUCCCUUCUGACGAACCAUGAUGUCAUUAAUUUGGUGUCAUGGGGAAUCAGGACUGUUACUUUGAAAAAAUUAGUGUUUAAAGCAGGCUCACGCUUGAAUACAUUAGCAUGGAAUAAUGAAAUAGGACGUUUUGAUUCUAUUUUGUUGGUUUCUAGGAUCGACGUAAUGAUUAAUAGGGAUAGUUGGGGGCAUUAGUAUUCAAUUGUCAGAGGUGAAAUUCUUGGAUUUAUUGAAGACUAACUACUGCGAAAGCAUUUGCCAAGGAUGUUUUCAUUAAUCAAGAACGAAAGUUAGGGGAUCGAAGACGAUCAGAUACCGUCGUAGUCUUAACCAUAAACUAUGCCGACUAGGGAUCGGAUGAUGUUAAUUUUUAAUGACUCAUUCGGCGCCUUACGGGAAACCAAAGUGUUUGGGUUC